GAUGAACGCUGGCGGCGUGCUUAACACAUGCAAGUCGAACGAAGCACUUAAGAUUGAUUCUUCGGAUGACGUCUUUUGUGACUUAGUGGCGGACGGGUGAGUAACGCGUGGGUAACCUGCCUCACGCAGGGGGAUAACAGUUAGAAAUGACUGCUAAUACCGCAUAACCCGAUAGGAUCGCAUGAUCCAGACGGAAAAGAUUUAUCGGUGUGAGAUGGACCCGCGUCUGAUUAGCUAGUUGGUGAGGUAACGGCCCACCAAGGCGACGAUCAGUAGCCGGCCUGAGAGGGUGAACGGCCACAUUGGGACUGAGACACGGCCCAAACUCCUACGGGAAGCAGCAGUGGGGAAUAUUGCACAAUGGGGGAAACCCUGAUGCAGCGACGCCGCGUGAGUGAAGAAGUAUUUCGGUAUGUAAAGCUCUAUCAGCAGGGAAGAAAAUGACGGUACCUGACUAAGAAGCCCCGGCUAACUACGUG
rnacentral:rRNA from 1 species